GAUGAACGCUAGCGGCAGGCUUAAUACAUGCAAGUCAAGGGGGUAGCAAUACAACCGGCGCACGGGUGAGUAACGCGUACACAACAUACCAUAUACUGGGGUAUAGCUUUGGGAAACUGAAGGUAAUCCCCCAUAACAUUGCGAGAGGGCAUCUGAUUGCAAUUAAAGUUUCGGCGGUAUAUGAUUGGUGUGCGUUUGAUUAGCUAGUUGGUAGGGUAACGGCCUACCAAGGCGACGAUCAAUAGCUGGCGUGAGAGCGCGACCAGCCACACUGGAACUGAGACACGGUCCAGACUCCUACGGGAGGCAGCAGUAGGGAAUAUUGGACAAUGGAGGAAACUCUGAUCCAGCCAUGCUGCGUGAUAGAUGAAGGCCCUCUGGGUUGUAAAUAUCUUUUAUCUGGGAAGAAACAAUCUUAUUCUUAAGAUCUUGACGGUACCAGAGGAAUAAGCACCGGCUAACUCCGUGCCAGCAGCCGCGGUAAU
rnacentral:rRNA from 1 species